UACAGAGGGUGCGAGCGUUGUCCGGAAUUACUGGGCGUAAAGCGUGCGCAGGCGGUCUGUUAAGACCGAUGUGAAAUCCCCGGGCUUAACCUGGGAACUGCAUUGGUGACUGGCAGGCUUUGAGUGUGGCAGAGGAAGGUAGAAUUCCACGUGUAGCAGUGAAAUGCGUAGAGAUGUGGAGGAAUACCGAUGGCGAAGGCAGCCUCCUGGGCCAACACUGACGCUCAUGCACGAAAGCGUGGGGAGCAAACAGG
rnacentral:rRNA from 1 species